rnacentral:lncRNA from 1 species
AUAUUAUCAAUAUUAUAUGUAUAUACAAUAUAUUAUAUUAUUUAAAAUGAUAUAAAAAUAUUAUAUUAUAAAACUGAGGGUGGGGCCCAGGUAAAUUACCUUGGAGGGCCACAUCCGGCCCCCGGACCUUAGUUUGGGGACCCCUGCCCCAGGGCAUGGUAUAUAUAUGCAUCUGCCAUAUUAUGUUUGAUUUGUAGUUUGGCCCUCUUGGCUUUCUGUACCCUUAGUUAUGAUGCAAUAGCUCCUCCCUUCUCUCUCUGAAGAAAGAAGAUGGCUGCCCAGCUUUUGGGAAACUAUCAUUUUUUUCACCUGCUGUAGUGUGAUGUUUUGCAAGAUUUACCCAGAUUAAAGUACCUGGAACCUUGUUUUGCAUCUCUGCAGUUGAGUUGACACGAUCUGACAAAAUUUCUGGUGUAAGUACUGGGGGCGGGGCAGGGCAGGGCAAAGGCAAGUCAAGUUUCCUCUCCACCCCACGAUCUGCUCCUCCUACCUAAUUUGCAUUUUUAUCUCUCCACUUUGGAUUGGGACCUCAAACCAACAAUGUGGUUCCUAUCCUGAGGUGGAUGUACUUAGGAGUCUGGGUGAGAAAGGCAGUGUAGAGGACCCCCGGCUGGAUCUGCCACAAAGCCCCUAAGCUCAUGAAUGGGUCCAGGAAAGCACCAACUGCCACAGAAACGUCCAAUUUGUUUGGAAUCACUGGGUCUCCUUGGAAACCAGGCUCUGGGGGUAUCAUGGCAGUCCCACAAACUUCACUUGCAAAAUCCUCGGUGCUUUGCUGAUCUUCCCCUUCCACCCCAGCAGUCGAACCCGCUGCUAAUGAAAGUUACAAUUUGGGGCAGACAGAUGGGGCUGUUGCAACCCAGAUAAUUCUCCUCCUCUAGACCCUGUCAGUUCCUCUGGGUAGUGUUUCUACUGCUGCCACCUCCAGGCUAAGGGAGAAGAAGAAAGACCAAGUCAGUUUAUCCAUUUCCGCUAUUCUAAAAACUUUUGCAAUCCAGUCUGACAUUGUCGGAAGGUGUGACUACUUCCAAUGUUGUGCAUACUGUGGCAUCCAUGCUGCAUUUAUCAUGUUGUGCAAUACUUGAUUUUGUUUAUUUGGCAUUCCCAAUAAAAAUAAUUCAGGCUCUACUGGUAUCUUUGAUUUUAAAAAUUCCUGCAAUGUUUUUUCUACCUUGCCCUAGAAUUCCCUUGCUUUUUAAAUAAGAUCACCACUUGUAGAAUAAAGUUCAUUCUCUUUUCUUUCAUUUCCAACACUUAUUGUUUUUCCCUUAUACGUUUUAUCAAGUUUUGUUGGGGUUAAGUACCACCUGUUCAUUUUAUAAAAGGUUUUUCUAAGGUCAUAACACAAAAUUUUCUUUAAGUCAUUUGACCACAUUUUUCAAAUAUAUCUAAUUCUAUGUUGUGUCCAGCAUUUUGUGCCCAUUUAUUCAGCUUCUCUUUUGAGUUCAAGAUAGAAAAAUCUUCAAGCAGAUAAUAGGACAGGAUUGCAGCAACUUUUAAUAUCUUGAUUUCUUUGAUAUCUUUGCAGUUUGACAGCUAUUUACAAUAUAAUUAGAGGAGACUCUAAUUGAAGAAUCAGAUUUCUGCAGUAAUUUAAAAAAAAUGAAUCAGUGUGAGAUCUAAUAGAAGGCAAACAAUUCUCUGCUUGAACCAGAGCUGCAGGAAUACCAGAUGGUAGUAUUACGUGUCUUGAGAAAUGUCUUCCCACCUAAGGACCCCUGCCUCCUCCAGCCAAUCCCCACUUAUAUGCAAAUUCUCUCUCUACUUCACAAUUCCCACCAACCAGGCAAUCUGCAUAAAUAUCCCUCCCACCCAUGAGCCCCCUUCCUCCUUUUAUCUCACAAUCAGCUCCUGCAACCUAAUUUGCAUAUUCAGCCCUCCUCUUGGGAUUGGGACCUCCAACAACUGAAGAAUUUAGUUGGGGGCUGUAAUGAAGUAUGAGUUGUAUUCAUAUUUGUUGUGUUUAACUAUGUGCUUGUGGUUUGGUUGGGUAGGUGUGAGAUGGCGGCAGCCAUUUAGUGGCUCUCCUCUGAGGCAGUUGCCAUGGAGAUGUGGGUGGAGCCAUCUGCUGAGGGGAGGAGAAGUGAAGAGGUUUUUAAAAGUGAAGUCUUAGUCUGUGCUCUGAUGAGGCAUAGGGAAGAUUGAUUCCAGGUUGAUGGGAUCAAGGACACUCAAGUGUUCAUUUUGAGUCGGUUUCAAAUAAAUUUGGUGACUUAUUUAAUGUAGUCUGUGUCCUGGAAAGGCACAGAGAAUCUGUGAUAUUAUAUCACAGGGGUGACUGUGGUUUGAAGUCACUGGAUAGUCCAGGUUUCAGACUUUGGGAACCAAUCCCAGCUGGACUUACAGGAUCAUUGAAGUAACAGUUUAAAAGGAGCAGAGGAAGAAGUUUUAACUACUUUAAGUAAAAGAAGUGAUACUUUAGAGAGUUUGAUUCAUCUCAUUCUAGUAUUGUAACUGUUAAUAAGAAUACCUCUAAGUGAAACAUCUUUUGUAACCACCAAGCUUGUGCCUGAAUAAACUUGAUAUUGUUCUUUUUACAUCAAAGCCUCUGUCGUCUAUAGACUCCCUCAGCACAAUUGCGCUACCAUUUUAACACUGAAUAAAGUAAAAGGCUUCUUCUGAGCUAUUGGGUGGUUGAGCACUUUUAUAAUCUAAAGGUGUCUCUCCACACAGUGGUGGCUGCAUUUCCACUAAUUGGUGGCAGUUAUCUUUUAUUAUUUGGGACAUUAUUCGUUAUUAAUUGGGUCUUAUACGCUACCCUCUUUUACAGGGGCCAAAGGGAGAAAUCUGACCCACACAUCUUCUCUCUUGGGGCCAGGACUUACCUUAGAAGGCAGAAGAUAGAGGUGGACGAAAAGCGGUCUCUCUUUAGAGAUAAAAGAGGGAUGCAAAAAUAUAAUAAUACAAUUAUAAUAAUAAUAAUAACGACGAGGAAUCCUGGAAGGAAAUGGGGAGCUUUGGAAGGGAGCUUACCUUAGAGCGUCCACAGGAACCUCCCUUUCGUAUUUGGUGCCUGCUCAGCAAAAAGGCCAUCACCACUUACUGGCAUCUUGCAAAAAAUCCCAGUUGCCCCCUUCUGUUGGCAGAGGACUGUGGCUCCUUACUCUGAGUUGCCUGGCAAGGUCCACCCUGUUGAAAAGCCCAUGCCAGAGAAGUAGAGGGUGGGGACCCUUGGCUGGAUCUGCCGCAAAGCCCUUCUGUUCAUGAUCAGGCCCAGGAAGGCAGUGGCCAGAGAAAUGUCUGGUCUGUUCAGAAACAAUUGAUCUCCUUGGUGACCACAUAAACACCUCCAGCCCCAGAACCCUAAGCAAAAAUGGAACCUUUUCAAAAGAAUGUUGAAAAGAGGCCUAGGAGGCAGGUUUGCCACAUGCUUCACCAGCCCUGCUCCUCCAGCUUGAAGGGCAGGCAGAGGCCCAAGACAGUGGGGCUCAACCCCUUUGCAUCCAAAGUACUCCCUGGAGAUAUCAGGCAGACAAAUUCUUAGGUUUUCUGGGAGGAAAAGCUCUUUCACACAGCUAGUUGUGCUGUUUGUAAUUUUCUGAAAUAUUUAGAUAAACUUUGUAAGUUUGCCAACUGAUGUCACAAUGGUACAAAAGUCAUUUGGAAAGUAGAUUUCACCUAAUGUCAAUUCAGUGGGGAAAGUACCUUCACCAAUUUGAGGAGCUUCAGACUUAAAGAGUUAGCCAAAA